GUGGGGAAUUUUGGACAAUGGGCGAAAGCCUGAUCCAGCCAUGCCGCGUGCAGGAUGAAGGCCUUCGGGUUGUAAACUGCUUUUGUACGGAACGAAAAGACUCCUUCUAAUAAAGGGGGUCCAUGACGGUACCGUAAGAAUAAGCACCGGCUAACUACGUGCCAGCAGCCGCGGUAAUACGUAGGGUGCAAGCGUUAAUCGGAAUUACUGGGCGUAAAGCGUGCGCAGGCGGUUUUGUAAGACAGAGGUGAAAUCCCCGGGCUCAACCUGGGAACUGCCUUUGUGACUGCAAGGCUAGAGUACGGCAGAGGGGGAUGGAAUUCCGCGUGUAGCAGUGAAAUGCGUAGAUAUGCGGAGGAACACCGAUGGCGAAGGCAAUCCCCUGGGCCUGUACUGACGCUCAUGCACGAAAGCGUGGGGAGCAAACAGGAUUAGAUACCCGAGUAGUCC
rnacentral:rRNA from 1 species